rnacentral:rRNA from 1 species
CCUACGGGAGGCAGCAGUAGGGAAUCUUUCACAAUGGGCGAAAGCCUGAUGGAGCAACGCCGCGUGCAGGAUGAAGGCCUUCGGGUUGUAAACUGCUUUUAUAAGCGAGAAAUAUGAUGGUAACUUAUGAAUAAGGAUCGGCUAACUACGUGACAGCAGCCGCGGUCAUACGUAGGAUCCGAGCAUUAUCCGGAGUGACUGGGUGUAAAGAGUUGUGUUGGGGGCAUAAUAAGUAGCUAGUGAAAUCUGGUGGCUCAACCAUUCAGACUAUUAGCUAAACUGUUAAGCUCGAGACCGUUAGGGGUAACUGGAAUUUCUGGUGUAGGAGUGAAAUCCGUAGAUAUUAGAAGGAACACCGAUAGCGUAGGCAGGUUGCUGGGACGGUUCUGACACUAAGGCACGAAAGCGUAGGGAGCAAACGGGAUUAGAUACCCCAGUAGUC